rnacentral:lncRNA from 1 species
CAAAAGGAAAACUAAAGCUUCAAGUAUUUAAAAUAUUGUCCACAAAUCCUCAGGUGAUCUGCUGCAUUCAUAAAGUUUGUCAGUUGUAUGUAUGGAUAUUACUAUCCAGCAGCAGUGGUAUAAGUUAUAUGCUGAAAGCAUUAUAUUUCAGAAGGCAAAUGUCCUGGAUGCCUCAUAUCUUGCAUGCCAUGACCUUAUGUUACAAAGUGUAUGCCUGUUGUAUGUCUAAUGUCCAUGACCUCAUUUUUAUGGUUCAGUAACAAAAUUGAGGUUUUUUUGUUAUGUGAAUUUCUCUCUCAUUAUGAGUAAUAGGAAACUAUAUUUAGUAUAUUGGUCCCUUGCAAGAUAUGC